GACAGAGGGUGCAAACGUUGUUCGGAAUUACUGGGCGUAAAGCGCGUGUAGGCGGCUUGGCAAGUCGGGUGUGAAAGCCCUGGGCUCAACCUAGGAAGUGCACUCGAGACUGCUUCGCUGGAGUGUCGGAGAGGAAAGCGGAAUUCUCGGUGUAGAGGUGAAAUUCGUAGAUAUCGAGAGGAACAUCGGUGGCGAAGGCGGCUUUCUGGACGAUUACUGACGCUGAGACGCGAAAGCGUGGGGAGCAAACAGG
rnacentral:rRNA from 1 species